ACGGCUCAGUAACACGUGGAUAACCUGCCCUUAGGUUCGGCAUAACUCCGGGAAACUGGAGAUAAUUCCGAAUAAACCAUUCAUGCUGGAAUGCUUUUUGGUUCAAAGACUUCGGUUGCCUAAGGAUGGAUCUGCGGUCUAUCAGGUAGUAGUGGGUGUAAGGUACCUACUAGCCUACGACGGAUAUGGGUUGUGAGAGCAAGAGCCCAGAGAUGGAUUCUGAGACAUGAAUCCAGGCCCUACGGGGCGCAGCAGGCGCGAAAACUUUACAAUGCGGGAAACCGCGAUAAGGGGAUACCGAGUGCCAGCAUAUUAUGUUGGCUGUCCACAUGUGUAAACGGCAUGUGUUAGCAAGGGCCGGGCAAGACCGGUGCCAGCCGCCGCGGUAACACCGGCGGCCCGAGUGGUAAUCACUUUUAUUGGGUCUAAAGGGUCCGUAGCCGGUUUGAUCAGUUCUUCGGGAAAUCUGACAGCUCAACUGUUAGGCUUCCGGGGAAUACUGUCAGACUUGGGACCGGGAGAGGUAAGAGGUACUACAGGGGUAGGAGUGAAAUCUUGUAAUCCCUGUGGGACCACCAGUGGCGAAGGCGUCUUACCAGAACGGGUCCGACGGUGAGGGACGAAAGCUGGGGGCACGAACCGGAUUAGAUACCCGGGUAGUCCCAGCCGUAAACGAUGUUCGCUAGGUGUCAGGGACGGUGCGACCGUUUCUGGUGCCGUAGGGAAGCCGUGAAGCGAACCACCUGGGAAGUACGGCCGCAAGGCUGAAACUUAAAGGAAUUGGCGGGGAAACAC
rnacentral:rRNA from 1 species